GACGAACGCUGGCGGCGUGCUUAACACAUGCAAGUCGAACGGAAAGGCCCUGCUUUUGUGGGGUGCUCGAGUGGCGAACGGGUGAGUAACACGGGAGUAACCUGCCCUUGACUUUGGGAUAACUUCAGGAAACUGGGGCUAAUACCGGAUAGGAGCUCCUGCGGCAUGGUGGGGGUUGGAAAGUUUCGGCGGUUGGGGAUGGACUCGCGGCUUAUCAGCUUGUUGGUGGGGUAGUGGCUUACCAAGGCUUUGACGGGUAGCCGGCCUGAGAGGGUGACCGGCCACAUUGGGACUGAGAUACGGCCCAGACUCCUACGGGAGGCAGAGGUGGGGAAUAUUGCACAAUGGGCGGAAGCCUGAUGCAGCAGCGCCGCGUGCGGGAAGACGGCCUUCGGGUUGUAAACCGCUUUCGCCUGUGACGAAGCGUGAGUGACGGUAAUGGGUAAAGAAGCACCGGCUAACUACGUG
rnacentral:rRNA from 1 species